ACAGCAGUCGCCACGGUAAUACGUAGGGUGCAAGCGUUAAUCGGAAUUACUGGGCGUAAAGCGUGCGCAGGCGGUUUGUUAAGACAGAUGUGAAAUCCCCAGGCUCAACCUGGGAACUGCAUUUGUGACUGGCAAGCUAGAGUGUGGCAGAGGGGGGUGGAAUUCCGCGUGUAGCAGUGAAAUGCGUAGAUAUGCGGAGGAACACCGAUGGCGAAGGCAGCCCCCUGGGCCAACACUGACGCUCAUGCACGAAAGCGUGGGGAGCAGACAGGAUUAGAUACCCCUGUAGUCCCUGUCUCUUAUAA
rnacentral:rRNA from 1 species